AACGAACGCUGGCGGCAUGCCUAACACAUGCAAGUCGAACGAGACCUUCGGGUCUAUUGGCGCACGGGUGCGUAACGCGUGGUAACCUGCCCUUAGGUUCGGAAUAACUCCCCGAGAGGGGUGCUAAUACCGGAUAAGGUCUUCGGACCAAAGAUUUAUCGCCUUUGGAUGGGCCCGGGUUGGAUUAGCUGGUUGGUAGGGUAAAAGCCUACCAAGGCGACGAUCCAUAGCUGGUCUGAGAGGAUGAUCAGCCACACUGGGACUGAGACACGGACCAGACUCCUACGGGAGGCAGCAGUGGGGAAUAUUGGACAAUGGGCGCAAGCCUGAUCCAGCAAUGCCGCGUGAGUGAUGAAGGCCUUAGGGUUGUAAAGCUCUUUUACCCGGGAUGAUAAUGACAGUACCGGGAGAAUAAGCUCCGGCUAACUCCGUG
rnacentral:rRNA from 1 species